CAAUGGUACAAUAGCAUAGGCCAGUAUUUGUCGAUAUAUAUUUAUUUUUUCUAAACUACAUUGGUUAUUCUGAGACUUCAGAGUGGAUUACUUCCAGACCAUGAUGAGGAAACUCUGAUACAGAGACCUGUUCCCUCCAAAUGCUCCUCCAAUCAUUUCAGCCACUCUCAGGGUGUAGCUGUGCAGAAGGAUCUUUGGUGCGGGAGUGAUUCCAGCAGUUUGAUUCAGAGUGAAAUGCCUGACAGCUGAUGGAAGCAUAUUUUGUCAUGGAGUUGGAGAGGGUGAGCUAAGCUAAUCAUCAGAGUGCCCACCCAAAACAGGGUUGGUGGUGUGGACAGCCGGCCUGUGCCACAAAGGGAUUAAAUGCUGUCAUCGCCCUUUCCUCCCCCAGUGCUCAACACACUCGAUCACAAGGACAGCAGGUCUCAGCCUUCCUAAACUAAAGCUGAACACAUGCCAGACUGCAGAGAGACAGACAGACUUCAUGGGGAGGCGAAUCAGGCUCAGGGCUGCCAUCCACUCUCACCACUGCAGAGAGAAGAGGGCCCUGUGCUGUCACUUACCCAUCUGAACCUGUUCAACUAGAAUCAUUAUCAAGUUGAGGAUGGGAGACAAACAUUCUCUUUUCCCACAAACCUCUUAACCUGUUGUUGAUUGAGGGAAUCCAUGGAAACGUUACAGGAAUGCAAAGGCGUUUCUGAGUGCACCCCCGAGUCCAGCGAAUGUUUUCUUCCUUUAUCAAUGCAUCCUUGUUCCAA